rnacentral:rRNA from 1 species
GACGAACGCUGGCGGCGUGCCUAAUACAUGCAAGUCGAACGAACUCUGGUAUUGAUUGGUGCUUGCAUCAUGAUUUACAUUUGAGUGAGUGGCGAACUGGUGAGUAACACGUGGGAAACCUGCCCAGAAGCGGGGGAUAACACCUGGAAACAGAUGCUAAUACCGCAUAACAACUUGGACCGCAUGGUCCGAGUUUGAAAGAUGGCUUCGGCUAUCACUUUUGGAUGGUCCCGCGGCGUAUUAGCUAGAUGGUGAGGUAACGGCUCACCAUGGCAAUGAUACGUAGCCGACCUGAGAGGGUAAUCGGCCACAUUGGGACUGAGACACGGCCCAAACUCCUACGGGAGGCAGCAGUAGGGAAUCUUCCACAAUGGACGAAAGUCUGAUGGAGCAACGCCGCGUGAGUGAAGAAGGGUUUCGGCUCGUAAAACUCUGUUGUUAAAGAAGAACAUAUCCGAGAGUAACUGUUCAGGUAUUGACGGUAUUUAACCAGAAAGCCACGGCUAACUACGUGCCAGCAGCCGCGGUAAUACGUAGGUGGCAAGCGUUGUCCGGAUUUAUUGGGCGUAAAGCGAGCGCAGGCGGUUUUUUAAGUCUGAUGUGAAAGCCUUCGGCUCAACCGAAGAAGUGCAUCGGAAACUGGGAAACUUGAGUGCAGAAGAGGACAGUGGAACUCCAUGUGUAGCGGUGAAAUGCGUAGAUAUAUGGAAGAACACCAGUGGCGAAGGCGGCUGUCUGGUCUGUAACUGACGCUGAGGCUCGAAAGUAUGGGUAGCAAACAGGAUUAGAUACCCUGGUAGUCCAUACCGUAAACGAUGAAUGCUAAGUGUUGGAGGGUUUCCGCCCUUCAGUGCUGCAGCUAACGCAUUAAGCAUUCCGCCUGGGGAGUACGGGCCGCAAGGCUGAAACUCAAAGGAAUUGACGGGGGCCCGCACAAGCGGUGGAGCAUGUGGUUUAAUUCGAAGCUACGCGAAGAACCUUACCAGGUCUUGACAUACUAUGCAAAUCUAAGAGAUUAGACGUUCCCUUCGGGGACAUGGAUACAGGUGGUGCAUGGUUGUCGUCAGCUCGUGUCGUGAGAUGUUGGGUUAAGUCCCGCAACGAGCGCAACCCUUAUUAUCAGUUGCCAGCAUUAAGUUGGGCACUCUGGUGAGACUGCCGGUGACAAACCGGAGGAAGGUGGGGAUGACGUCAAAUCAUCAUGCCCCUUAUGACCUGGGCUACACACGUGCUACAAUGGAUGGUACAACGAGUUGCGAACUCGCGAGAGUAAGCUAAUCUCUUAAAGCCAUUCUCAGUUCGGAUUGUAGGCUGCAACUCGCCUACAUGAAGUCGGAAUCGCUAGUAAUCGCGGAUCAGCAUGCCGCGGUGAAUACGUUCCCGGGCCUUGUACACACCGCCCGUCACACCAUGAGAGUUUGUAACACCCAAAGUCGGUGGGGUAACCUUUUAGGAACCAGCCGCCUAAGGUGGGACAGAUGAUUAGGGUG